rnacentral:rRNA from 1 species
CUACGGGUUGCACCAGUCGCGAAUCUUCCGCAAUGGGCGAAAGCCUGACGGAGCGACGCCGCGUGCAGGAUGAAGGCCUUAGGGUUGUAAACUGCUUUUAUUAGGGACGAACAAAUGACGGUACCUAAUGAAUAAGAGGUUGCUAACUCUGUGCCAGCAGCAGCGGUAAUACAGAGACCUCGAGCGUUAUCCGGAUUUAUUGGGCGUAAAGGGUCCGUAGGCGGCCCUGUAGGUCCUGUGUAAAAUCUUCGGGCUCAACCCGAAAUCUGCGCAGGAAACCACAUGGCUAGAGAAUGGGAGAGGCACACGGAAUUACCGGUGUAGCGGUUAAAUGCGUUAAUAUCGGUAAGAACACCAAAGGCGAAGGCAGUGUGCUGGAACAUUUCUGACGCUGAGGGACGAAAGCGUGGGUAGCGAAAGGGAUUAGAUACCCGCGUAGUC